UGUUCGGAUCGCUGUGACGUAGGUGGUUCGCUGCCCGCGACUCUGCGAGAAGUCCAUUGAACCUUAUCAUUUAGAGGAAGGAGAAGUCGUAACAAGGUUUCCGUAGGUGAACCUGCGGAAGGAUCAUUG
rnacentral:rRNA from 1 species